CUUCUCUCUCCUUUUUCUCUCAACAUGCUGACGGUGUGUCGAGUGUCGGUAAUGGUGGUGUCGGUUGGCUUCCUUAGGGCUUCAAAAGACGAUAUCUGAGCUGCGAUCCAUGACAACUCCGGUUAAAUCUCCGAAGAGGAAAUAUGUUAAGCCUAAUUUUAGUAGUGCUCCUCUUCGUCGAUCCAAUCGGUUGAAACAAGUAAACCCUAGCUCACCCGACGGCUUGAUUCCUGUCCGACGGUCUCUCCGACUUCCCUCAGAUCUGUCCACCAAGUCCCAGAUGGUGAAGAUCAGAAACAAGUGCUAGCAUUGAGAUAUUUGAAUAAGCUUUGUCGCUGUCGUGAUGUUCAUUCAACUGUAAAGAAUCUCCAAGCUUCAUCAGGGGACGCCUAAAAUCACCAUGGUCACGUAGUAAAAGAAAACACGCACUCCCUCCUCAGCUAUGGAAAAGCUUCUUUACACCAGAUGGAAAGCUUCGAGAUGGUGUUAAGUUUCUUAAAAAAGUUCGCAGUGGGACGAACUAGGGUUCUGCCAUUUCGGAACUGGUAGGAACAAAUCUGAAUUCAUACAAAUUGGGGACUAACUGGGAUUUCUUCGACACUUUCCGCCAUAGUUAUUAAAGCGAGCGCCAAGGCGCAAAUAAAGCCCGGACCCAACACAUCGCUCUGAGUGCGAAAGUAAUUUUACAAGAAGUGGACGACUCAUUCAGGGGGUUGUAUAUAUGUUCUUUUGUGUUAGGGUUCUUACCAUAAUGGCCUUUCCUAGGAUCAAGAAAGGCAUCUGUUUGUUUAGAUUGGAGUCAAUAUCCAGGCUGUAAAUGGAUCAAAGUUGGCAUUUGUGUGAAGUAUGCAGGGAGGUGGAGCUACCCCUUGGUAUUUUCUAAAUUGUGACUGGACGGGGUCCUGAAGUAGGUGCUCCUUUGGCUGCUCACCCCGAUUAUGUGCUUAAUGUAGAUGUCCCAAUCGAGUACUUUCUUUGGGUUCAUUUUUUUGUUGAUACCAUCAGACUAAAAUCAGCAACAUCAAAAGCUUCCAUGCACAUACAAGGGCUUUUAUCCUCUAUGAUUCCAACAAACGAACCCAUGUCACGAAGCCGAUUUUGACAUUUGCUUCUCUUCUUUCCGGAUAUCUCAAUAUCACCAAAUACCAAAACAUUUUCGUAGUCUUGCUGAUUCUUCACACCGUACACUACUGAUAUUUUAGGGGACCAUAUGGAUGAAAGUGCCUUGGAUGUGAUAGAAUUAUUUGUGGGAAAUUUUGUAAUAUAAGCCUUCAAAGAUGCACCUUCACGCCCUUCUAGACUAUAUGAAUCCGGUUCUUUGUUCGCAUAAGAGCAUAAUAAUGUCAAAAGAGUAUGUGGAGAUCUCUAGAAAGAAGACUAAGAAGGACCUAAGCUCCAGCAUUUCAAUUCAGGAAGGUGGUGAAUAUGAAGAAUAACAAGGAGUGGAUGCCUACACAUGAAGAGAUGGGAUACCUUGAAUUGAGGCAAAGAUUGAAGGCAUCGGCUAGAAAGAAGACUAAGAAGGACCUAAGCUCCAGCAUCUGAAAUUCAUGGGAGAAAACGAAUAAAAAUGCCCUAUGGCAAGUUAGUAUCAUUCUUUUGGUUUUGUUAAAUAUUCACGUGGAUAAGAUCAAUGGGAGAAAACGAAAAAGUGAAACCACUGUUUUGGGUUAAACAGUGUUUUGAAACC